CGGGUGAGUAAUGUCUGGGAAACUGCCUGAUGGAGGGGGAUAACUACUGGAAACGGUAGCUAAUACCGCAUAACGUCGCAAGACCAAAGUGGGGGACCUUCGGGCCUCAUGCCAUCAGAUGUGCCCAGAUGGGAUUAGCUAGUAGGUGGGGUAACGGCUCACCUAGGCGACGAUCCCUAGCUGGUCUGAGAGGAUGACCAGCCACACUGGAACUGAGACACGGUCCAGACUCCUACGGGAGGCAGCAGUGGGGAAUAUUGCACAAUGGGCGCAAGCCUGAUGCAGCCAUGCCGCGUGUGUGAAGAAGGC
rnacentral:rRNA from 1 species